rnacentral:lncRNA from 1 species
AGACAUUCAUCCAUGGAGCCUAAUCUUUUGUACCCCUCAUACAGAUUCUCGAAAUUUUCUGCAGAUUCUUUCAUUUGUAUCUGCACUUUUUGUCUUCCUACAUUCCUCCAUCUUCUGAAUAGAUUCAUCUUUAAGAUUUCCACAUGGUCAGAUUGGAUCACCAUCUGGAAAUCUUGUUUGCAAUUCUCACCACUUGUCUCCAUAAUCUCUGUAAAUCUUAUUACUCAGCCAAGUUGAUCAGUCCUCUGAUCUCUCUUAUUGUUCUCCUAGCUAUGCUGAUGGGUGAUCUUUUUCUUGAUAAAGUGUUCAAAAUAAAUAGUCCUCUCUUGGCACAUAUCAAUUACACUUUCUUGUCAUUCAUUCCAAUAUCACUAUGCUUAGUUCAGUUCGUAUCUCUCUUGGAUAUAUAUCUUUGAAGGACAAUUAUUCUGUUCCACCAAAAGAUACUACAAAUUUGUGUGACAGCUUAAUCAUAGAUACUACAUUAAGAAAUGGCAUCCUGCCAGACCCAUGGUACUAUUCUUUGGAAUGUCCAAAUAAUUCUAACUUGUACAUAAAAUCAAUGGGCUGUUUCCUUGAGCCACCAUUGCCCAAUAACAAUUAUAAAAAAUUAAGUUGUUGUGUUGUCACAACACUAUAAUAUAGUUUCAUAUAAGUAUUGUUGGGCAUGUCACUUUCAUUUCUUUUCCAGAGGAUUAAGAUGAUUAGAGGCUGCUCCAGGGAGAGUCCGGAAACUGCAGAUAGUCUUUUCCCAACAAAAAAGUCUAAAUUAUUUGGUUGAGGAUGGAUUAAUCAUUCAAUUACAUUUUAGUACUCCCCAAGGUUAUGGUACAUGCACACUUGGCUAUGCAUAAGAAAUUUUCAACUGUUUGCUUGCAAGAUACAGAUCUGUUGUAUGGGGUCAUGCUAUUAUUAUUAUUUACUGAUAAAAGGAGAUGGAUGCUAUUUUUAUUUACUAAAAAAAGAUGUUUGGUUAAAAAGCUUGGAGAUCACUAAACUGCAUCACUUGGUUUUCAAAGGGCACAAGAUUUUUUUGAU